rnacentral:rRNA from 1 species
GGCUCAGAACGAACGCUGGCGGCAUGCCUAACACAUGCAAGUCGAACGAUCACUUCGGUGAUAGUGGCGCACGGGUGCGUAACGCGUGGGAAUCUGCCCUUAGGUUCGGAAUAACUCAGAGAAAUUUGAGCUAAUACCGGAUGAUGACGUAAGUCCAAAGAUUUAUCGCCUAGGGAUGAGCCCGCGUAGGAUUAGGUAGUUGGUGGGGUAAAGGCUCACCAAGCCGACGAUCCUUAGCUGGUCUGAGAGGAUGAUCAGCCACACUGGGACUGAGACACGGCCCAGACUCCUACGGGAGGCAGCAGUGGGGAAUAUUGGACAAUGGGCGAAAGCCUGAUCCAGCAAUGCCGCGUGAGUGAUGAAGGCCUUAGGGUUGUAAAGCUCUUUUACCCGGGAUGAUAAUGACAG